UUCAUAUAAAAGUUAUACAGGGACACCCAACAAGCAAAAUGGCGAUCCACAAAACCCAGAGAGGAAAGCCUCUCCAGAGGCCACCUUCUAGAUCUUCCAUUCUUAUAAUCCUUACAGCUACAGUUGGCUGCAUUGCUGUUUUCUACAUUGCAUCUUCUUUCUCUUCCACAAAAGGGUUUUUUUAUUCCAUCACAGAAACGAGUAUACAGAGCAGCAAUGCUAGGAAUCAUAGAGAUUCUGAGAAGUAUUUGUAUUGGGGCAAUAGAAUUGACUGUCCCGGGAAGCAUUGUGAGUCUUGUGAAGGCCUUGGUCACCAAGAGUCCAGCCUCAGGUGUGCUCUUGAGGAGGCGAUAUAUCUUCAGAGAACCUUGGUAAUGCCUUCUAGAAUGUGCAUCAAUCCAAUACACAAUAAGAAAGGGAUUCUUCACCAGUCCAAUGAUGCCAGUUCAGAAGAAAGGUGGGCAGCUAGCUCUUGUGCAAUGGAUUCCUUGUAUGAUCUUGAUCUCAUAUCUGGAACAGUACCUGUAAUUUUGGAUAACUCAAAAGAAUGGCAUCGGGUGCUAUUAACAAGCAUGAAAUUAGGAUCCAGAGGGAUCGCCAAUGUGCAAGGAGUUAGCCGGGAGGAUCUUGGAUCAAAAAGUUCGUAUUCGAAUAUUUUACUCAUAAAUCGAACAGCAAGUCAUCUAUCAUGGUUCAUGGAGUGCAAGGAUCGGAAUAACCGUAAUGCUAUUCUCUUGUCAUAUUCUUUUCUUCCUUCAAUGGCUAGCAAGAAGUUGCGGAAUGCAGCAGAAAAGUCUCAGGUACACCAUGUUAGCUUUAAACCUUGGACAGACAUGAUUCUAAGAUUAAGGUGCUUCUUGGUGAUUAUGAUGCUAUCCAUGUCAGACGAGGUGAUAAACUGAAAACUCGUAAGGAUAGGUUUGGUGUUGUUCGGUCUUUGCAUCCUCAUCUUGACAGGGAUACCCGUCCAGAAUUUAUUUCGUGCCGAAUUGCAAAAUGGGUCCCACCGGGACGAACUCUUUUCAUUGCUUCAAAUGAGAGAACCCCAGGUUUCUUUGCCCCACUUGCAUCGAGGUAUAAAUUGGCAUACGCAUCAAAUUAUAGCAGCAUUUUGGAUCCAGUGGUCGAGAACAACUAUCAACUCUUUAUGGUGGAGAGACUUGUCGUGAUGGGAGCCAAGACAUUCAUUAAAACGUUCAAGGAAGACGACAAUGAUCUUAGCCUCACAGACGAUCCGAAAAAGAAUACCAAGACAUGGCAGGUACCUGUUUAUACACUGGACAUAAGAGAAUGCUGAUCCAUUUUACUCAUAGCAGAUCCAAAAAAAGUUCUUCCCCUUGAGAUCACUUGUUGGAUGACAAAAUGUCGAGCAGAAUCGUACGUCGAGUGCAGCUGGAGGGCAUAGCAUAUCUCUCGUUGAAUUCUUGAUUCUUGCAGCUUCUGCACAAAUUAUGAGUUAUGAAAAUUUUCCUUCUCAGGUGAGCUUAGGGUUGUAUGUUGUGGUUUGGCAUUUUCUUUUACAGUGUAUGUAACUUUCUAAAUGUAGCACAAAGGGAGCUUUCAGCAUUUGUCGUCUUCAAAGAAUGCUUUGAGUCAGUUCCACAUGAUUUCAUAUUCAUUGUAAGAAAUCAUAUGCUCAUAUGGUCUUUGGAAAUGCUUGUAGAGUUUCUUUCUUCUUGGAAGGAAAAUGCAUUGUUGGAUUAAAUGUUUAAACAA